GUCCCUGUCGCGCAGUGAGUAGCGCGUUGGACUUCUAAUCCAAAGGUCGUGGGUUCAAAUCCCACCUGGGGUG